rnacentral:rRNA from 1 species
GAUGAACGCUAGCGGCAGGCUUAACACAUGCAAGUCGAGGGGUAUGGUUCUUCGGAACCAGAGACCGGCGCACGGGUGCGUAACGCGUAUGCAAUCUACCUUUCACAGAGGGAUAGCCCAGAGAAAUUUGGAUUAAUACCUCAUAGCAUAACGACCUGGCAUCAGGAUGUUAUUAAAGUCACAACGGUGAAAGAUGAGCAUGCGUCCCAUUAGCAGUUGGUAAGGUAACGGCUUACCAAGGCUACGAUGGGUA